rnacentral:rRNA from 1 species
CCGGAGGAAGGCGGGGAUGACGUCAAAUCAUCAUGCCCCUUAUGACCUGGGCUACACACGUACUACAAUGGCCGGUACAACGGGCCGCGAAGCCGCGAGGCGGAGCCAAUCCUAAAAAGCCGGUCUCAGUUCGGAUUGCAGGCUGCAACUCGCCUGCAUGAAGUCGGAAUUGCUAGUAAUCGCGGAUUAGCAUGCCGCGGUGAAUACGUUCCCGGGUCUUGUACACACCGCCCGUCACACCACGAGAGUUUACAACACCCGAAGUCGGUGGGGUAACCCGCAAGGGAGCCAGCCGCCGAAGGUGGGGUAGA